UACAGAGGGUGCAAGCGUUGCUCGGAAUCACUGGGCGUAAAGGGUGCGUAGGCGGGUCUUUAAGUCAGGGGGGAAAUCCUGGAGCUCAACUCCAGAACUGCCUUUGAUACUGAAGAUCUUGAGUUCGGGAGAGGUGAGUGGAACUGCGAGUGUAGAGGUGAAAUUCGUAGAUAUUCGCAAGAACACCAGUGGCGAAGGCGGCUCACUGGCCCGAUACUGACGCUGAGGCACGAAAGCGUGGGGAGCAAACAGG
rnacentral:rRNA from 1 species